AUCGCUUCUCAGCCUUUUGGCUAAGAUCAAGUGUAGAAUCUGUUAUCAGUUUAAAAACAUCCUACAGUACUCAUAAAAUUAAAAUUUUAUAUACACACACACA
ensembl:snRNA U2 U2 spliceosomal RNA